rnacentral:rRNA from 1 species
GACGAACCGUCCAAACGUUGUUCGGAAUCACUGGGCUUAAAGGGCGCGUAGGCGGGUGAGCAAGUCUGUGGUGAAAUCCUCCGGCUUAACCGGAGAACUGCCGUGGAUACUGCCCAUCUCGAGGAGGAUAGGGGCAUCUGGAACUAGCGGUGGAGCGGUGAAAUGCGUUGAUAUCGCUAGGAACUCCGGUGGCGAAGGCGAGAUGCUGGAUCCUUUCUGACGCUGAGGCGCGAAAGCCAGGGGAGCGAACGGG